rnacentral:lncRNA from 1 species
AGCAGAAAAGCUUUUUUCAUCAGCAGAAGAUAACACAAAAAGAUUUUCUGCUGAUGAAAAAAGCUUUUUAUUUAAAAAGACAGGUGUUAUCUUUUGAUGGUUUUAACUUAUUUUUUUUUAUUAAAGAUUUUUUUAUUUAAGCAUCACUUCUUUCAAGUUUAAAGCUUAUUCCAAAAAUCUUUUUGUGUUAUCUUCUACUGAUGAAAAAAG